rnacentral:lncRNA from 1 species
CGAAUCCGAAAAGGAUAAAUACUAGGAGAGUCUAGACAGUGUGAGGAGAGUAAUCCGCACUUGAACCCGUUUGGGAAUCAAAGAUUCAGAUCCACUUUUAUUUUAUCUAUAUCAUAUAAUUAUUUGUAUAUAUACUACAAGCCUCCUCGAAUCAAAUAAAGUUUUGUAUAAUUUCUCAUACUGGAGGUAUCCCAACGGCUCAAAUCGUCGAGUAUUUUCUGGUGGUGUUUUUUUGUGCAAGUUCACGUCCAAGCUGGUGAUUGAACAUGUGCCAGAAGGAGGGCCUCCGACAGUUUAGAGAAAUUUUUUUCAUCUUCGAAAUUAUCUGAUUUGGCUGAAGAAUUCCAUCAAGAUCAACAUUCAUAUUAUUCCGCAAAGUUGACUGCAUAAAGGAGAUUUGGAUGCUAAUUAAAACAAUCACCCGAGAUACACCAUUAGUGUUGGGAGUAACCACUAGGUCAUCAUCCUAGUUCUCAAUUCAUCAGCAACCCCAAAUCCCGGUGACGGCAUAACGUAAGGGAGACACACCCAUCUUGGGUUCAACUCCUAAAUCCCGUAGCCCCACCAUUCGAAGAAUGAAAUCCAUCGGCAUUCUCGUCAUCCCUACCGUAAUCAUUGGACACGAGACUCACGCCCAUCAUCUUCAUGGAACUAUGAUUUUGAAGAUCAUACUAUGGCCUUUGCAUUAGUCCCUCC